AUGUCAGCUCUUCAGGGUGUCACUGUCCCGGCCGUACUGCGUGAAGGAGACUCCGUUUUAUUUGUGUCCUUGGCCAUCUGGACCCGCUUCUUUCCUGCCUCCGAGGCUCUGAGGUCUGUUUUGGCCCAGGGAACUCUAGGAGACCUCCGGGUGGCUCGGGCAGAAUUUGGGAAGAACCUCACCCAUGUUCCCCGGGCUGUAGACUGGGCCCAGGCCGGGGGUGCCCUGCUGGACUUGGGCAUCUACUGUGUCCAGUUCAUCUCCAUGGUCUUUGGAGGGCAGAAGCCAGAGAAGAUUUCCGUCAUGGGAAGGCGUCAUGAGACAGGUGUGGACGACACAGUCACGGUGCUCCUGCAGUACCCAGGAGAGGUCCAUGGCAGCUUCACUUGCAGCAUCACCGCGCAGCUCUCCAACACAGCCUCCGUGAGCGGCACCAAGGGCAUGGCACAGGUGAGGCGCAGCGGGCCCAAGCGCUAGGGAUUGUACCCCUAAAAUAGAAGGGGGACAAAUGGCCCUUGGAGCUGGAUGAGGGUUUAACCAGCCAAUUUCACAUCAUUACUAAAGAGUUCAUCCUCCUUAACCAAGCCAAGAGGUGGGUUCUGGGCCUCUAGGCUCUCCUUACUUAGGAUUAACCUAUUGCUCUGUCAAAUAUCCUUGGACCUGGCCGGCACGGUGGUUCACGCCUGUAAUCCCAACACUUUGGGAGGCCAAGGCAGGCGGAUCACCUGGGUCAGGAGUUCAAGACCAGCCUGGACAAUAUGGUUAAAAUCCAUCUCUACUAAAAAUACAAAAAUAGCCAGGUGUGGUGGCCUGUAAUCCCAGCUACUCAGGAGAAUCAUUUGAACCUGGGAGGUGGAGGUUGCAGUGAGCCGAGAUCGUGCCGCUGCACUCCAGCCUGGGCGACAGGGCAAGACUCCAUCUCAAAAAAAUCAAUAGGCCCGGCACGGUGGUUCACGCCUGUAAUCCCAACACUUUGGGAGGCCAAGGCAGGCGGAUCACCUGGGUCAGGAGUUCAAGACCAGCCUGGACAAUAUGGUUAAAAUCCAUCUCUACUAAAAAUACAAAAAUUAGCUGGUUGUGGUGGCAAGCGUCUGUAAUCCCAGCUACUCGGGAGGCUGAGGCAGUAGAAUUGCUUGAACCCGGAAGGUGGAGGUUGCAGUGAGCUGAGAUAGUGUCAUUGCACUCCAGCCUGGGUGACAAGAGCAAAACUGCAUCUCAAAAAUUUUAUAUAUAUAUACCUGGCCGCCAUGGUGGUCACACCUGUAAUCCCAGCACUUUGGGAGGCUGAAGCUGGUGGAUCACUUGAGCCCUGGAGGUUGA
rnacentral:lncRNA from 1 species